GACAGAGGGUGCAAGCGUUGUCCGGAAUUAUUGGGCGUAAAGAGCUCGUAGGCGGUUUGUUGCGUCGGCUGUGAAAUCCUGAGGCUCAACCUCGGGUCUGCAGUCGAUACGAGCAAACUAGAGUGUUGCAGGGGAGACUGGAAUUCCUGGUGUAGCGGUGAAAUGCGCAGAUAUCAGGAGGAACACCGGUGGCGAAGGCGGGUCUCUGGGCAACAACUGACGCUGAGGAGCGAAAGCGUGGGGAGCAAACAGG
rnacentral:rRNA from 1 species